rnacentral:rRNA from 1 species
GACGAACGCUGGCGGCGUGCUUAACACAUGCAAGUCGAACGGAAAGGCGCGGCUCUUGCGGGGUGCACGAGUGGCGAACGGGUGAGUAACACGCGAGUAACAUGCCCCUGUCUGUGGGAUAACUUCACGAAACAGGGGCUAAUAUCGGAUAGGAGCUCCUGAUGCAUGGUGGGGGAUGGAAAGAUUCGGCGUUUGUGGAUCGACUCGCGGGUUAUCAGCUAGUUAGUCGGGUAGUGGCGUACAAAGGCUUCGACGGGUAGCCGGCCUGAGAGGGGGGCCAGCGACAUUAGGACUGAGAGACGCCGCAGACUCGAACGGGAGGCAACGGUGGAGAAUAUUGCGGAGUAGGCGGGAGCCAGUGACGAAGACGUCGCGUGCGGAAUAACGGGCUUUGAGUUGUGAACAACUGUGGAAUGUGACGUGGCGUGAUUGACGGUAAUGGGUAAGAAAGCACCGGCUAACUACGUG